rnacentral:rRNA from 1 species
GGCCAGCAGCCGCGGUAAUACAGAGGGUGCAAGCGUUAAUCGGAGUUACUGGGCGUAAAGGGCGCGUAGGCGGAUUUUUAAGUCGGGUGUGAAAUCCCUGGGCUCAACCUAGGAAUUGCACUCGAUACUGGAAGUCUAGAGUAUGGUAGAGGAAAGUGGAAUUCCCGGUGUAGUAGUAAAAUACGUAGAUAUCGGGAGGAACACCAGUGGCGAAGGCGGCUUUCUGGCCCAAUACUGACGCUGAGGCGCGAAAGCGUGGGGAGCAAACAGGAUUAGAUACCCUGGUAGUCCACGCUGUAAACGAUGAGAACUGACUGUUGUCUCGCGCCUAAAUUGUUUUUAUGUAUUUCAUUUUAUAUAAGAAUAAUUUAGGCGCGGGGCAGUAGUGAAGCUAACGCGUUAAGUUCUCCGCCUGGGGAGUACGGCCGCAAGGUUGAAACUCAAAAGAAUUGACGGGGGCCCGCACAAGU